rnacentral:rRNA from 1 species
UACGUAGACCUCGAGCGUUGUUCGGAUUUAUUGGGCGUAAAGAGCAUGUAGGUGGUUUUGUGCGUCUUCUGUUAAAGCUCAGGGCCUAACCCUGGAAGUGCAGUAGAUACGACAAGACUAGAGGAGGUUAGAGGUGCAUGGAACUCACGGUGUAGGGGUGAAAUCCGUAGAUAUCGUGGGGAAUACCAAAGGCGAAGGCAGUGCACUGGGACAUUCCUGACACUGAGAUGCGAAAGCGUGGGGAGCAAAAAGG